rnacentral:rRNA from 1 species
UGGGGAAUAUUGCACAAUGGGCGCAAGCCUGAUGCAGCAACGCCGCGUGCGGGAAGAAGGCCUUAGGGUUGUAAACCGCUUUCAGCAGGGAAGAAACUGACGGUACCUGCAGAAGAAGGAGCGGCCAACUACGUGUCCAGCAGCCGCGGUGACACGUAGGCUCCAAGCGUUGUCCGGAUUUAUUGGGCGUAAAGAGCUCGUAGGCGGUUUAGUGAGUCGGGUGUGAAAACUCUGGGCUUAACCCAGAGACGCCACCCGAUACUGCUAUGACUAGAGUACGGUAGGGGAGUGGGGAAUUCCUGGUGUAGCGGUGAAGUGCGCAGAUAUCAGGAGGAACACCAGUGGCGAAGGCGCCACUCUGGGCCGAAACUGACGCUGAGGAGCGAAAGCGUGGGUAGCAAACAGGAUUAGAUACCCUGGUAGUCCACGCCGUAAACGUUGGGCACUAGGUGUGGGUCUCGAACCAACGAGAUCCGCGCCGUCGCUAACGCAUUAAGUGCCCCG